GACAGAGCGUGCAAACGUUGUUCGGAAUUACUGGGCGUAAAGCGCGUGUAGGCGGCUUCGCAAGUCGGAUGUGAAAUCCCACGGCUCAACCGUGGAAGUGCAUUCGAAACUGCAAGGCUAGAGUUCUGGAGAGGAAGGUGGAAUGCUUGGUGUAGAGGUGAAAUUCGUAGAUAUCAAGCGGAACACCGGUGGCGAAGGCGGCCUCUGGACUGUAACUGACGCUGAGACGCGAAAGCGUGGGGAGCAAACAGG
rnacentral:rRNA from 1 species